CUGGCAUCUGCAUUGCUGCUGCCAUGAGCAUGGCACAGCAGCAGGUAUACUGCUAAUUAUUGAACGCCUGACAGCUGCUUAUCAACACUUGGCCACUAUUUCUGGACACCUGCUCAUCCCUUAAUAGAGAGAAGUUUGGAAGGAGGACAGAGGGGAGUCUCUUGUUGCCUGCCUGUUGCAUCCCAACUUGCCCACAGAGUGAGUCAAUUCGGCCUUGUGUGGAGGCCCUGGCUUCUCUGGAGUCUGUUUUUCUUUUGCUGAGCUUCUCCUAUCCAAACAGAAUGGCCUUACAACAUGCUUUCUCGUCCUUAAUACUAAACCCAUGCAAUUUGUAACUAUUACAGUUCUGUAAGUGAGAAUUGAUCACAUGAUUGAACAACUGUAUUUCUAAAAUAUGUUAUGAAAUAACUUCUUUUUACUAAUACUAAUAAAGUCUUUCUACUUUUUCAAACUGUUUCUAAGGGCAAAUUACAAAACACAUCGUGCUGUACUGCUUCAGAGCAAUCCCACAUUUGAUAGCCAGUGCAGAAACAACAUUCCAUCCUACAGCAUUAGCUAGUUCAGAGGUACCAGACGUGUAUCUGGAUGUGGCUGUUGUGCAUAACUGGGGCUGAGGGAUCAGAAGUGACAGCUCCACUCUUGAAGACCACAGAACUAAAAUGGAAAGA